UUCUCUCUCCCUUCAGGAAGCAGAGAAGACGAGCACACCGGCCCCUUGGCGGGGGAGACCACGGCCAGACGUCCGGCCACCACGAGCAAGACAGGUCCUCACAAAUCUGGAGCCAUACAGAGCCCGCCAGGAGGCAUGGAAGAAGGCCGUGGAGGUCAACAGGUUGCAGGCAACGGCCCCAAAGCAAUUCCCCUGCUUUGUGAAGAAGAUGGAGCUCUGAGACCCCAAUAAAAAGCAGGAGGACAGUGCAGC